GAUGAACGCUGGCGGCGUGCCUAAUACAUGCAAGUCGAGCGAACGGACGAGAAGCUUGCUUCUCUGAUGUUAGCGGCGGACGGGUGAGUAACACGUGGAUAACCUACCUAUAAGACUGGGAUAACUUCGGGAAACCGGAGCUAAUACCGGAUAAUAUUUUGAACCGCAUGGUUCAAAAGUGAAAGACGGUCUUGCUGUCACUUAUAGAUGGAUCCGCGCUGCAUUAGCUAGUUGGUAAGGUAACGGCUUACCAAGGCAACGAUGCAUAGCCGACCUGAGAGGGUGAUCGGCCACACUGGAACUGAGACACGGUCCAGACUCCUACGGGAGGCAGCAGUAGGGAAUCUUCCGCAAUGGGCGAAAGCCUGACGGAGCAACGCCGCGUGAGUGAUGAAGGUCUUCGGAUCGUAAAACUCUGUUAUUAGGGAAGAACAUAUGCGUAAGUAACUGUGCACAUCUUGACGAUACCUAAUCAGAAAGCCACGGCUAACUACGUG
rnacentral:rRNA from 1 species